CAAGAGUCUAGAGUCUAGGAUCAAGAAUGGAGAAGACUGACCAAGGUCUAAGGAGUUCUGCAAAAUAUAAACAUUUACAGCUAUAUAACACAAUAUAAUAUAAUUAUUCUUUAGUGCAGAAAAUGCACAAUGAAGUAAAACCUUGUUAUACUCUAUAAACUUUCAACACUCACAGGUUAACAUAUGACAUUUCCAAUACACAAACAAUCUUAAUUAGUUACACAGUAUACACUUAUAAACACUGAAUCACUUUAACACACGACAUUAUAUAAGACACUAAUACAUAGAACAAUUUAUAUAAAGGAGUCUUUUCAGUACUUACUGUUACGGGUGGCUAGGUGUCAGGUAGUGAUCAGAGAAAUGCCGGGGACUCUCCAUGUUAAGAAAACAAAAUCAAACAAGGACAACCAAAUAAACAAAUAACUUCUUUAGUCCAUGGAGUGAAAAGAUACACAAGAGAUGGCAGCACAGCAUUCCUCGACAAAAACAAGGACAGCCAAAAAAAGAAAUAACUUCUUUAGUCCAUGGAGUGAAAAUAUAAACAAGAGAUGGCAGCACAGCAUUCCUCGACAAUAUAUAUAUAUAUGAUAUAUAUAUAUAUAUAUAUAUAUAUAUAUAUAUAUAUACAACUAUUUCUGCUAUGGCAAUCAUGUUGCAGCAUUGUCCUCGCGGACAGCAAGGAAUGGGUAGACAGUGCUCAGCCAAUUACCAGCUAUACAUACAGCCGUCAAGUGCCUCCGGGAGAAGGCGAACGAUUUGUAGUGGUUGCUGCGCCUGCGGGCUCAUCGAGUUGAUUCGUUGAGAAUUCUUUUCUCUGUUUCCCGGCAAAAAACACCAGUGGGGACUACCACGGAGAGAUGAAUGGGAAAUUGUUCCUCCAAUGGCUGACAAGAUCACUUUUACCAUCCCUUCCUGAGCCGUCUGUCCUGGUAAUAGAUAAUGCACCAUACCAUAAUAUGUUAACAGAGGAUAGUUAUUGUCCCACAUCUGCAACUAAAAAGGAUGACUUAAUAAAAUGGCUGGAAAAUCGAGGCAUACCCUAUUUAUCACACGCCACACUCCCUGAAUUGCUGAAGAUCUGCAAACAAAACAAGCCGGAGCCACAAUAUCUGGUGGGUAACACCAUUCGCUCGUGGGAGCAUGAAGUCGUCCGCCUUCCACCCUCCCAUCCUGAACUCAAUGCCAUCGAGCAGGUAUGGGCGCAUAUGAAGCUAUAUGUACGUUCAUCGUUACGGCAUUUCACCAGGGCAGACCUAAAGGCCAGAUUGGAGGAAGCAAGGCUUGCUGUCACUAAACAGGUGUGGGAAUGAGCUCUCCAACGAAGUCAAGCUUUCGAGAACGAAUACUGGCUUACUGACAACGUCCGGGAUUGCAUAGAUCCAAUCGUUGUCAACGUCGCCAUUGAUGACGAGGACGAUCUGUUUUUAGACAGUGACGGGGAGUGAGCUGAAAUAUCCGUAUACGUGUGUAUAUAUAGUCCUGUAAUUAAUAAGUUUUGAUAUAUUUAUCCACCAGUUUUUUAUUUUGUGUCUAUGCUGUUUUCAUGGUUACUGCAAAAAUUUACUUCAAAAUCUGUAAAAUUUCUAUAUAUAUUGUACAUACUUUAUUGGAUAUAUAUAAUAGAAUAAUGUAUAUAGUGACCUUACUUUUAAAUAAACUAUGAUCUGUUUU